UACAGAGGGGGCAAGCGUUGUCCGGAAUUAUUGGGCGUAAAGAGCUCGUAGGCGGUCUGUUGCGUCCGCUGUGAAAUCUCGGGGCUUAACCCCGAGCCUGCAGUGGAUACGGGCAGACUAGAGGUAGGUAGGGGAGAAUGGAAUUCCCGGUGUAGCGGUGGAAUGCGCAGAUAUCAGGAGGAACACCGGUGGCGAAGGCGGUUCUCUGGGCAUUACCUGACGCUGAGGAGCGAAAGUGUGGGGAGCGAACAGG
rnacentral:rRNA from 1 species